rnacentral:rRNA from 1 species
UACGGGGGGGGCGAGCGUUGUUCGGAAUUACUGGGCGUAAAGGGUUUGUAGGUGGCCUGCUAAGUCAGACGUGAAAUCCCUCAGCUUAACUGGGGAACUGCGUCUGAUACUGGCGGGCUUGAGGACAGGAGAGGAACGCGGAAUUCCCAGUGUAGCGGUGAAAUGCGCAGAUAUCGGGAAGAACACCCGUGGCGAAGGCGGUUCUCUGGGACGGUACUGACGCUGAGACGCGAAAGCGUGGGGAGCGAACAGG